GGGUCGUUAGCUCAGCCGGUAGAGCAGCGGACUUUUAAUCCGUUGGUCCGGAGUUCGAAUCUCCGACGACCCACCA
rnacentral:tRNA from 1 species